CCCUUAGAUGUUCUGGGCCGCACGCGCGCUACACUGUUCGACGCAGCGAGUCUUAACCUUGACCGAAAGGUUUGGGUAAUCUUUUGAAAGUCCGACGUGAUGGGGAUUGAUCAUUGCAAUUAUUGAUCAUGAACGAGGAAUUCCUAGUAAGCGCGAGUCAUCAGCUCGCGUUGAUUACGUCCCUGCCCUUUGUACACACCGCCCGUCGCUACUACCGAUUGAAUGGUUUAGUGAGAUCUUCGGAUUGGCGCCUACGCGGCUUCUCUGAGGCCACGCUGGAUGCCGAAAAGUUGCUCAAACUGUAUCAUUUAGAGGAAGUAAAAGUCGUAACA
rnacentral:rRNA from 1 species